UAAAAACCCGGGUAGUCCUAGCCGUAAACGAUGCAUACUAGGUGAUGGUGCGGCCAUGAGCCGCAUCAGUGCCGUAGGGAAACCGUUAAGUGUGCCGCCUGGGAAGUACGGUCGCAAGGCUGAAACUUAAAGGAAUUGGCGGGGGAGCACCACAAGGGGUGAAGCCUGCGGUUCAAUUGGACUCAACGCCGGGAAACUUACCAGGGGAGACAGCAGAAUGACGGUCAGGUUGACGACCUUACCUAACGAGCUGAGAGGAGGUGCAUGGCCGUCGCCAGUUCGUGCUGUGAGGUAUCCUGUUAAGUCAGGCAACGAACGAGACCCGCACCUUUAUUUGCCAGCAAGAGGUUACGACUUCGUUGGGAACAAUAAAGGGACCGCCGUCGAUAAGACGGAGGAAGGAGCGGGCGAAGGCAGGUCAGUAUGCCCCGAAACCCCUGGGCUACACGCGGGCUGCAAUGGUAUGAACAAUGGGCUGUGACUCCGAAAGGAGAAACCAAUCCCGAAAU
rnacentral:rRNA from 1 species